rnacentral:hammerhead_ribozyme from 1 species
UGCUGAGGAGUCCCAUACCAGGACGAAACGGCCGUCCAGUAC